rnacentral:rRNA from 1 species
UUUUAUGGAGAGUUUGAUCCUGGCUCAGAGUGAACGCUGGCGGCGUGCCUAAUACAUGCAAGUCGAACGAUGAAGCUUCUAGCUUGCUAGAAUGCUGAUUAGUGGCGCACGGGUGAGUAACGCAUAGGUCAUGUGCCUCUUAGUUUGGGAUAGCCAUUGGAAACGAUGAUUAAUACCAGAUACUCCCUACGGGGGAAAGAUUUAUCGCUAAGAGAUCAGCCUAUGUCCUAUCAGCUUGUUGGUAAGGUAAUGGCUUACCAAGGCUAUGACGGGUAUCCGGCCUGAGAGGGUGAACGGACACACUGGAACUGAGACACGGUCCAGACUCCUACGGGAGGCAGCAGUAGGGAAUAUUGCUCAAUGGGGGAAACCCUGAAGCAGCAACGCCGCGUGGAGGAUGAAGGUUUUAGGAUUGUAAACUCCUUUUGUUAGAGAAGAUAAUGACGGUAUCUAACGAAUAAGCACCGGCUAACUCCGUGCCAGCAGCCGCGGUAAUACGGAGGGUGCAAGCGUUACUCGGAAUCACUGGGCGUAAAGAGCGCGUAGGCGGGAUAGUCAGUCAGGUGUGAAAUCCUAUGGCUUAACCAUAGAACUGCAUUUGAAACUACUAUUCUAGAGUGUGGGAGAGGUAGGUGGAAUUCUUGGUGUAGGGGUAAAAUCCGUAGAGAUCAAGAGGAAUACUCAUUGCGAAGGCGACCUGCUGGAACAUUACUGACGCUGAUUGCGCGAAAGCGUGGGGAGCAAACAGGAUUAGAUACCCUGGUAGUCCACGCCCUAAACGAUGGAUGCUAGUUGUUGGAGGGCUUAGUCUCUCCAGUAAUGCAGCUAACGCAUUAAGCAUCCCGCCUGGGGAGUACGGUCGCAAGAUUAAAACUCAAAGGAAUAGACGGGGACCCGCACAAGCGGUGGAGCAUGUGGUUUAAUUCGAAGAUACACGAAGAACCUUACCUAGGCUUGACAUUGAGAGAAUCCGCUAGAAAUAGUGGAAUGUCUAGCUUGCUAGACCUUGAAAACAGGUGCUGCACGGCUGUCGUCAGCUCGUGUCGUGAGAUGUUGGGUUAAGUCCCGCAACGAGCGCAACCCCCUUUCUUAGUUGCUAACAGGUCAUGCUGAGAACUCUAAGGAUACUGCCUCCGUAAGGAGGAGGAAGGUGGGGACGACGUCAAGUCAUCAUGGCCCUUACGCCUAGGGCUACACACGUGCUACAAUGGGGUGCACAAAGAGAAGCAAUACUGCGAAGUGGAGCCAAUCUUCAAAACGCCUCUCAGUUCGGAUUGUAGGCUGCAACUCGCCUGCAUGAAGCUGGAAUCGCUAGUAAUCGCAAAUCAGCCAUGUUGCGGUGAAUACGUUCCCGGGUCUUGUACUCACCGCCCGUCACACCAUGGGAGUUGUGUUUGCCUUAAGUCAGGAUGCUAAAUUGGCUACUGCCCACGGCACACACAGCGACUGGGGUGAAGUCGUAACAAGGUAACCGUAGGUGAACCUGCGGUUGGAUCACCUCCUUUCUA